rnacentral:rRNA from 1 species
UACGUAGGAAGCGAGCGUUAUCCGGAUUUAUUGGGCGUAAAGAGCACGUAGGCGGUUUCGCAAGUUGGGCGUGAAAGCCCCCGGCUUAACUGGGGAGGGUCGUCUAAUACUGCGGGACUUGAGGGUGGAUGAGGAGACUGGAACUCCCGGUGUAGUGGUGAAAUGCGUAGAUAUCGGGAAGAACACCAGUGGUGAAGACGAGUCUCUAGGCCACUUCUGACGCUGAGGUGCGAAAGCGUGGGGAGCGAACGGA